UACGUAGGGUGCAAGCGUUGUCCGGAAUUAUUGGGCGUAAAGGGCUCGUAGGCGGUCCAUCGCGUCGGGAGUGAAAAGCUGGGGCUUAACCCCAGUCCUGCUUUCGAUACGGGUGGACUAGAGGUAGGCAGGGGAGAACGGAAUUCCUGGUGUAGCGGUGAAAUGCGCAGAUAUCAGGAGGAACACCGGUGGCGAAGGCAGCUCGCUGGGACGUGACUGACGCUGAGACGCGAAAGCGUGGGGAGCAAACAGG
rnacentral:rRNA from 1 species